rnacentral:rRNA from 1 species
UACGAAGGGUGCAAGCGUUACUCGGAAUUACUGGGCGUAAAGCGUGCGUAGGUGGUUUGUUAAGUCUGAUGUGAAAGCCCUGGGCUCAACCUGGGAAUUGCAUUGGAUACUGGCAGGCUAGAGUGCGGUAGAGGAUGGCGGAAUUCCAGGUGUAGCGGGUGAAAUGCGUAGAUAUCUGGAGGAACACCGGUGGCGAAGGCGGCGUCCUGGACCAAUACGUGACACUGAAACGCGAAAGCCAGGGGAGCAAACGGG